AUUGAACGCUGGCGGCAGGCCUAACACAUGCAAGUCGAACGAGUGGCGGACGGGUGAGUAAUGCAUGGGAAUCUAGCUGAUGGAGGGGGUUAACUACGGGAAACUGUAGCCAAUACCGCGUACCAUAGGCUGAGCCCAAGUGGGAUUAGGUAGUUGUUGAGGUAAAGUCUCACCAAGCCGACGAUCUCUAGCUGGGCUGAGAGGAUGAUCAGCCACACUGGAACUGAGAAACGGUCCAGACUCCUACGGGAGGCAGCAGUGGGGAAUAUUGGACAAUGGGCGAAAGCCUGAUGCAGCCAUGCCGCGUGUAUGAAGAAGGCCUUCGGGUUGUAAAGUACUUUCAGUGGGGAGGCGUUACCCGCAGAAGAAGCACCGGCUAACUCCGUGCCAGCAGCCGCGGUAAUAC
rnacentral:rRNA from 1 species